rnacentral:rRNA from 1 species
UGGGGAAUAUUGGACAAUGGGCGAAAGCCUGAUCCAGCAAUGCCGCGUGAGUGAUGAAGGCCUUAGGGUUGUAAAGCUCUUUUACCCGGGAUGAUAAUGACAGUACCGGGAGAAUAAGCUCCGGCUAACUCCGUGCCAGCAGCCGCGGUAAUACGGAGGGAGCUAGCGUUGUUCGGAAUUACUGGGCGUAAAGCGCACGUAGGCGGCUUUGUAAGUCAGAGGUGAAAGCCUGGAGCUCAACUCCAGAACUGCCUUUGAGACUGCAUCGCUUGAAUCCAGGAGAGGUGAGUGGAAUUCCGAGUGUAGAGGUGAAAUUCGUAGAUAUUCGGAAGAACACCAGUGGCGAAGGCGGCUCACUGGACUGGUAUUGACGCUGAGGUGCGAAAAGCGUGGGGAGCAAAACAGGAUUAGAUACCCUGGUAGUCCACGCCGUAAAACGAUGAUAACUAGCUGUCCGGGCACUUGGUGCUUGGGUGGCGCAGCUAACGCAUUAAGUUAUCCGCCUGGGGAGUACGGUCGCAAGAUUAAAACUCAAAGGAAUUGACGGGGUCAUAGCUGUUUCCU